UCCUACGGGAGGCAGCAGUAGGGAAUCUUCCGCAAUGGACGAAAGUCUGACGGAGCAACGCCGCGUGAGUGAUGAAGGCUUUCGGGUCGUAAAACUCUGUUGUUAGGGAAGAACAAGUGCUAGUUGAAUAAGCUGGCACCUUGACGGUACCUAACCAGAAAGCCACGGCUAACUACGUGCCAGCAGCCGCGGUAAUACGUAGGUGGCAAGCGUUGUCCGGAAUUAUUGGGCGUAAAGCGCUCGCAGGCGGUCUUUUAAGUCUGAUGUGAAAGCCCACGGCUUAACCGUGGAGGGUCAUUGGAAACUGGAGGACUUGAGUACAGAAGAGGAAAGUGGAAUUCCACGUGUAGCGGUGAAAUGCGUAGAGAUGUGGAGGAACACCAGUGGCGAAGGCGACUCUCUGGUCUGUAACUGACGCUGAGGAGCGAAAGCGUGGGUAGCGAACAGGAUUAGAUACCCUGGUAGUCCACGCCGUAAACGAUGAGUGCUAAGUGUUAGAGGGUUUCCGCCCUUUAGUGCUGAAGCUAACGCAUUAAGCACUCCGCCUGGGGAGUACGGCCGCAAGGCUGAAACUCAAAGG
rnacentral:rRNA from 1 species